rnacentral:other from 1 species
GCAAGAAAACGUCUAGCCAUGGCGUUAGUAUGAGUGUCAGUGCAAGCCUCCAGGACCCCCCCUCCCGGGAGAGCCAUAGUGGUCUGCGGAACCGGUGAGUACACCGGAAUUGCCAGGACGACCGGGUCCUUUCUUGGAUCAACCCGCUCAAUGCCUGGAGAUUUGGGCGUGCCCCCGCGAGACUGCUAGCCGAGUAGUGUUGGGCCGCGAAAGGCCUUGUGGUACUGCCUGAUAGGGUGGCUCGAGAGU